GCGGGUGUAGCUCAGUUGGUUAGAGUGCCGGCCUGUCACGCCGGAGGUCGCGGGUUCGAGCCCCGUCGCCCGCGCCA
rnacentral:tRNA from 1 species